GACGAACGCUGGCGGCGUGCCUAAUACAUGCAAGUCGAGCGAAGCGGCGGAUGGGUGAGUAACGCGUGGGUAACCUGCCCUUAAGUCUGGGAUACCAUUUGGAAACAGAUGCUAAUACCGCAUACUGAUGGAUGGACCCGCGGUGCAUUAGCUAGUUGGUGAGGUAACGGCUCACCAAGGCCACGAUGCAUAGCCGACCUGAGAGGGUGAUCGGCCACACUGGAACUGAGACACGGUCCAGACUCCUACGGGAGGCAGCAGUGGCGAAUAUUGCACAAUGGGGGAAACGCUGAUGCAGCAACGCCGCGUGCGGGAUGACGGCCUUCGGGUUGUAAACCGCUUUCAGCCAUGACGCGGUAGUGGCAGAAGAAGCACCGGCUAACUACGUGCCAGCAGCCGCGGUAAUUC
rnacentral:rRNA from 1 species